CAGUCGAACGGUAACAGGCCGCAAGGUGCUGACGAGUGACGAACGGGUGAGUAAUGCAUCGGAACGUGCCCAGUCGUGGGGGAUAACGCAGCGAAAGCUGCGCUAAUACCGCAUACGAUCUAUGGAUGAAAGCGGGGGACCGUAAGGCCUCGCGCGAUUGGAGCGGCCGAUGUCAGAUUAGGUAGUUGGUGGGGUAAAGGCUCACCAAGCCAACGAUCUGUAGCUGGUCUGAGAGGACGACCAGCCACACUGGGACUGAGACACGGCCCAGACUCCUACGGGAGGCAGCAGUGGGGAAUUUUGGACAAUGGGCGCAAGCCUGAUCCAGCAAUGCCGCGUGCAGGAAGAAGGCCUUCGGGUUGUAAACUGCUUUUGUACGGAACGAAACGGCUCUGGUUAAUACCUGGGGCUAAUGACGGUACCGUAAGAAUAAGCACCGGCUAACUACGUGCCAGCAGCCGCGGUAAUACGUAGGGUGCAAGCGUUAAUCGGAAUUACUGGGCGUAAAGCGUGCGCAGGCGGUUUUGUAAGACAGGCGUGAAAUCCCCGGGCUCAACCUGGGAAUGGCGCUUGUGACUGCAAAGCUGGAGUGCGGCAGAGGGGGAUGGAAUUCCGCGUGUAGCAGUGAAAUGCGUAGAUAUGCGGAGGAACACCGAUGGCGAAGGCAAUCCCCUGGGCCUGCACUGACGCUCAUGCACGA
rnacentral:rRNA from 1 species